UACGUAGGUGGCAAGCGUUAUCCGGAUUUAUUGGGUUUAAAGGGUGCGUAGGCGGUCCGUUAAGUCAGCGGUAAAAUUGCGGGGCUCAACCCCGUCGAGCCGUUGAAACUGGCAGACUUGAGCUGGCGAGAAGUACGCGGAAUGCGCGGUGUAGCGGUGAAAUGCAUAGAUAUCGCGCAGAACUCCGAUUGCGAAGGCAGCGUACCGGCGCCACACUGACGCUGAGGCACGAAAGCGUGGGGAGCAAAUAG
rnacentral:rRNA from 1 species